GUGUUCCUUUAUAGUGUUUAUAGUAUAGUUCCUUAGUAGUAUUUCAUUUUAUGGAUUUAUCAUAUAUUGUUUGUCUAUUCACCAGUUGAUGGAUAUUUAGGUUGUUUCCAGUUUCUGGGCUAUUUUGAUUAAAGACAAUAUAAAUAUUUGCAUGUAGAUUUUGUAUGGACAUGUGUUUUCAUUGCUCUUACUUACCUAUUGCUGUUUAACAAAUUACCAUAAACUCAGUUCCCUAACAGAACACAGAUUUGUUAUUUCGAUGUUUCUGCAUGUCAACAGUCUGGCACAAUGGGAUUUUCUGUCCAGAAUUUCACCAGGCUACAAUGAAGAUAUGGGCUUGCUGUGGCUGUAAUCUCAUCUGAGGUUUAACCCUGCGGCAAAAUUUUUCUCUUAGCAUCUGAUGUCCAGAUAACUCAAUGGGAACAACCGGUACCAGGUGUGGACUGAGAAGUCACGCGCUAGUCUGAAGCCUGGAAGAGAAAUGGUUGGAACAUCAGAGACAAGGAUGUCUUGGGUAAAUGUACAUGGAUGGAC